GGUAAGAUGGCCGAGUAUUUAGGCGGUAGGCUGUAGUCCUAUUAACAGAGGUUUCAUUCCUCUUCCUAUCA
rnacentral:tRNA from 1 species